rnacentral:piRNA from 1 species
AAGUGCCAGUCAGUAUUGUCAGAUGGUC